UACGUAGGGGGCUAGCGUUGUCCGGAAUUAUUGGGCGUAAAGAGCUCGUAGGCGGUUUGUCGCGUCUGCUGUGAAAACUCAGGGCUUAACCCUGAGCUUGCAGUGGGUACGGGCAGACUAGAGGGCUGGAGAGGAGACUGGAAUUGUCGGUGUAGCGGUGAAAUGCGUAGAGAUCGACAAGAACACCGGUGGCGAAGGCGGGUCUCUGGACGAGUUCCGUGA
rnacentral:rRNA from 1 species